rnacentral:rRNA from 1 species
UGAGGGUCCACCCGUUCCCAUUCCGAACACGGUAGUUCAGCUCACUAUGGCCGAAAGUACUUGGGCGUUAGGCCCCGGGAGGAUAGGUAGGCGCCAAGA